UACAGAGGUCCCAAGCGUUGUUCGGAUUCACUGGGCGUAAAGGGUGCGUAGGUGGUCGGGUCAGUCUGAGGUGAAAUCUCCGAGCUUAACUCGGAAACUGCCUUGGAUACUAUCCGGCUGGAGGGUUGGAGGGGGGACUGGAAUUCUCGGUGUAGCAGUGAAAUGCGCAGAUAUCAGGAGGAACACCGGUGGCGAAGGCGGAUCUCUGGGCCGAUACUGACGCUGAGGAGCGAAAGCGUGGGGAGCGAACAGG
rnacentral:rRNA from 1 species